ensembl:snRNA U6 U6 spliceosomal RNA
GUGCUCACUUCAGCAGCCCAUAUGCUAAAAUUGGAACAGUACAGAGAAGAUGAGCAUAGCCCUUCUGCAAGGAUAACACAGAUUCGUGAAGUGUUCCAUACUGUU